rnacentral:rRNA from 1 species
AACGUAGGAGACAAACGUUAUCCGGAGUUACUGGGCGUAAAGGGCGUGUAGGUGGUUGCGUAAGUCUGGCGUGAAAUAUCUCGGCUUAACCGAGGCAGGUCGUCGGAUACUGCGUAACUAGAGGACGGUAGAGGCGUGUGGAAUUCCGGGUGUAGUGGUGAAAUGCGUAGAGAUCCGGAGGAACACCAGUGGCGAAGGCGACACGCUGGGCCGUACCUGACACUGAUGCGCGACAGCAUGGGGAGCAAACAGG